UCAGGUGGUUAUUGCGCCGGGGUUCCACCUCUUCCCAUCCCGAACAGAGAAGUUAAGCC
rnacentral:rRNA from 1 species